UCCCUGGUGGUCCAGUGGGUAAGACUCUGCUCUCCUAAUGCAGGGGCCCUGGGUUCAAUCCUGGUUAGCGAA
rnacentral:tRNA from 1 species